CACGAAAGUUCUUCUGUUUUAAAAAAACACUCAAGGAAAUUGAAUUUGUAGUGAAGAUGCUACAUUAAAGUGGUUAGACGAGAAGUCCCCAUGGAGCUUUACUGAAAGCCGAAAAGAAAUUUUUUUAUCGGCUAGACAGUUUUGUUGGGGUGAUAGUUUUUUAAAAAGUAACGAAAACGAACUAUGACGCAUGUUUCACUCUGAAAACUGGAAGAGACAUUUUGGGUGUGUUUUAUGAUCUAUUGUUUUGAAUGAAAAAGAUAAUGAAAGCA
rnacentral:rRNA from 1 species